rnacentral:rRNA from 1 species
GUUUAGCAAAUCUCUUAAAGCCGUUCUCAGUUCGGAUUGUAGGCUGCAACUCGCCUACAUGAAGUCGGAAUCGCUAGUAAUCGCGGAUCAGCAUGCCGCGGUGAAUACGUUCCCGGGCCUUGUACACACCGCCCGUCACACCAUGAGAGUUUGUAACACCCAAAGCCGGUGGGGUAACCUUUUGGAGCCAGCCGUCUAAGGUGGGACAGAUGAUUGGGGUGAAGUCGUAACAAGGUAUC